rnacentral:rRNA from 1 species
CACGCAUGACACACUGCAUAUCAAUAAGCGGAGGAAAAGAAACUAACAAGGAUUCCCUUAGUAACGGCGAGUGAAGCGGGAAGAGCUCAAAUUUGAAAUCUUCAAGGUUUUACCUUGACGAAUUGUAGUUUAAAGAAGUGUUUUCUGUUGAAGUUUUGGUAAAAGUUCUUUGGAAUAGGACAUCAUAGAGGGUGAGAAUCCCGUAUUUGACCAUUAUUUUCAGCUGUGUGAUACACUUUCAAAGAGUCGGAUUGUUUGGGAAUGCAGUCCAAAAUGGGUGGUAAAUUUCAUCUUAAAGCUAAAUAUUGGCGAGAGACCGAUAGCGAACAAGUACCGUGAGGGAAAGAUGAAAAGAACUUUGAAAAGAGAGUUAAACAGUACGUGAAAUUGUCAAAAGGGAAGCGUUUGACACCAGUGUUGUUUUCUCGAAAAUCAAUUAAAAAAGGCCGGAUUUUGUGUUGUAUUGACCUUAAAAGCUUUCUUCACUCUUUUCUUGUCUUUUUUAAUGCACUUUUCGUUUAACAAGUCAACAUCAGUUUCUUUUGUUGUAAAAGGGUCAUUGGAAGGUGGCUUUCUUUUCGGAGAAAGUGUUUAUAGCCUUUGAUCUCUGCAACCGGAGAGACUGAGGUCUGCAGCGUAGACUCUUCGGGGUUAGAUACAUUUGUGCUAAGCUAUAGCCUUGUAUAGACAACUUGUUGACUAUGCUCAGUCAUGUAGCUUACUCGCUUGUGCUAUUUUACCUACGCUUAGGAUGUUGAGCGCAUGUCUCUCUCU